rnacentral:rRNA from 1 species
CCUACGGGUGGCAGCAGUGGGGAAUAUUGGGCAAUGGGCGCAAGCCUGACCCAGCAACGCCGCGUGGAGGAAGACGGCUUUCGGGUUGUAAACUUCUUUUGUCAGGGAAGAGUAUAUGACGUUACCUGACGAAUAAGCCACGGCUAACUACGUGCCAACAGCCGGGGUAAUACGUAGGUGGCAAGCGUUGUCCGGAUUGACUGGGUGUAAAGGGCGUGUAGCCGGGUUGACAAGGCAGAUGUGAAAUCCUGCGGCUUAACCGCAGAACUGCAUUUGAAACUGGUGAUCUAGAGUAAUGGAGAGGUAGAUGGAAGUCCUAGUGUAGCGGUGAAAUGCGUAGAUAUUAGGAGGAACACCAGAGGCGAAGGCGGUCUGCUGGACAGCAACUGACGGUGAGGCGCGAAAGCGUGGGGAGCAAACAGGAUUAGAUACCCUAGUAGUC